CCUACGGGAGGCAGCAGUGAGGAAUAUUGGUCAAUGGACGAGAGUCUGAACCAACCAAGUAGCGUGAAGGAUGACUGCCCUCUGGGUUGUAAACUUCUUUUAUAUGGGAAUAAAAUGUUCCACGUGUGGGAUUUUGUAUGUACCAUAUGAAUAAGGAUCGGCUAACUCCGUGCCAGCAGCCGCGGUAAUACGGAGGAUCCGAGCGUUAUCCGGAUUUAUUGGGUUUAAAGGGAGCGUAGGUGGAUUGUUAAGUCAGUUGUGAAAGUUUGCGGCUCAACCGUAAAAUUGCAGUUGAAACUGGCAGACUUGAGUACAGUAGAGGUGGGCGGAAUUCGAGGUGUAGCGGUGAAAUGCUUAGAUAUCACGAAGAACGCCGAUUGCGAAGGCAGCUCACUGGACUGCAACUGACACUGAGGCUCGAAAGUGUGGGUAUCAAACAGGAUUAGAUACCCCAGUAGUC
rnacentral:rRNA from 1 species